rnacentral:lncRNA from 1 species
GAAAACUUCUGCUUAUUUGCAGCUAUUUCUGGGCCACAGCAGCACUCCAAUAGAGCGCUUUGGCAGCAGCCUCUGUUGUGGUCAGCACUCUUUCUGCAGCUGGGAUUUCUUAAAAGAAGUGAGAAGCAUUUGCCUUCUAGUGUUCCAACAACAAAACAAGCAAAACUUCCAUGGGAAUGAGAUGGUCAUGGAGUUUCAACCCUCUCUUUCCUUCCCUUCCUGCAUGUGAUCAGGGAGGUCAAAGCCACUGGCGCACAUUUCAGCAAGUAUGUCACUCACAGCACAGCUAAUACACAGAAACAAUCCAAACCACAAGGCCCUAAAACAGAUGGUGGGAAACUUCACCCAUUAAAGUGACUGCAGGACUAAUAACUUGGGUGUUUCAAGUUGGAAGACUUGUCACAAGUUAAGACUGUACCCCUUAAGCAGAGAUAUGCCUCAGCGUGGGUAUCCGUAUGUAUGUAUAUCUGGUAGGGAGUGAUUCAGUGACAGAAUUUACCCAAGGACAAUAAGACCAAGAAAUAAAUAAACAACCAUCUAUCUUUGCCUUAACUAUAGCCAAAAAAAAGCAAAGCCAAGCAACAACCAAAACACAACAUUGUAAAUCAACUAUACUUCAAUACAACUAGAAAAAAUGCAAUAAAAAAAAACAAUCAUUUGGCAAAGCAAUAAUUUCUGAAUUGGAAAUCAGAAAAAAAGACAAAUACCAUAUUAUAUCACUUGUAUGUGGAAUCUAAAGUAUGGCACAGAUGAACCACCUACAGAACAGAAACAGAUUCACAGAGAACAGACCUGUGGUUGUCAAGGGAGAGGGGAAGAAGUGGGAUGGACAGGGAGUUUGGGUUGGUAGAUGCCAACUAUGACAUUUAGAAUGGAUAAGCAGUGAGGUUCUGCUGUAUAGCACAGGGAAAUAUAUCCAGUCUUUUGGGAUAGAAUAUGAUAGAAGAUAAUAUGUGAAAAAGAAUGUGUAUAUAUAUAUAUAUAUAUAUAUAUAUAUAUAUGUGUGUGUGUGUGUGUGUGUGUGUGUAUAACUGGGUCACUUUGCUAUACAGCAGAAAUUGAAAGAACACUAUAAAUCAACUAUAAUUUUAAAAAUUAAAAAAAUCAACUUAAAUAUAAAAAAAUGCUGUGAGAGUUAAAAAAUGGGAUUAGUAAAAUGUAGACCACUGACAAUUUAAUCUAAUAGCUCAAGAUGUUGCCAUCUUCUAAUAACCCUCAAACAACAAAACAACCAAAGAAACUUCAUUGCGUCACCAUAAGUUUAGGCAAUUUUCAUGCUGCAAUUAGAUAAAUGGAAAAGCCUAUGAGAAAUGUCUUGAAGUUGAAAUGACAGGCCGCGAGCUUUUUGUUUCUUCUUUAGAAAAUUAAUCUUUUAUUAAUGAUAUAUUAAUGUGAACCUAAAAAACUUUUUUCAGUGUCAACCUCGUAUUACAAACAUCUGUCUUUACUUUGUGGAAGUGGUGACAUUACCACCAUUAAGUGUACUCCAAAGAAGGUCAAACACUUCCACUUUUGAUGAGCAACAGUUUUCAAAACUCACAUUAGGCAAAAGCAUUUCUCACAAGAAAAACAUGCUGUUAACUUUGACAAAGGGCUGUUUGUGAGGUUGCCUCCUGUUUGAAUUGCCCCAUAGUAAGACAGAUGCUGGAAAGGGAAGUUGGAGAAUCAUUCUAAUCCAGAUCCACUUUUGGUUACUUCCUCUGCUUGUUUCCAACGCAGCUGCACAAAAUAAAACAAAAAGAGGAAACAGGGACACCCAGGCCGAAUAUUACUGCCUUCAGCAAAAGCCUUUAGAAAACCCUCUCAGGAACCUGUGACAUCACAGAGAUGCGUCAUCUUCCAUAUAGAAUUUUGCUCCCAAAGCAGGAUUUAUGCAAUUUCUUAAUGCAGACAACUAUUGCUGAAACACAACUAGCAUGCAAGGCAAUAACUUAAGAAAAGGGCAACACUCAGGCCAAGUCUUUACAGGAAUUAAAAUGUUAUUAACUCAACCAAUUUUUCUUUGACCAACCAAAUAAACAAUGUGAAGACAUGGUCAGUUUGGGCUCAGAGAAAGAGACUCACUGUAAACUCUGGACUGAAUGUCAGGGCCUUGGUGCCUUAACUCUUCAGUAAGACUAUGGGUGAUCUUCCUACACUUACUUCAUUCCUCCAAAUCUUAGUAUCCUCACGUAAAACAAAGAGAAUUGGACUGGAUGACAUUUACUGUUUCCAGACACCUGUAACUGAUGUUUUAUGAACACAUAAAAAUAACACAUUUAGGUGUAACUCAUUACCUCUACCAAUGCCCAACUAAUACUCCCUCUUUCUCCAGUAAUCCUUCAGUUUAGAAAGCUACCAAUUACCCUGUUUCCAUAGCUAGAAAUCUGUUAGCCAUCCUCUCCUCUUUUAUUUUUCAUAAUACAGUCCUUCCUUAAGUUGUUUGGUACAGUUUCAUUAUCUAUUGUAUUGCGAAAACCUAGUCCUGUAAGUUUAAUAUCUAAAUCUCUUGCUGACCAUCUAUUUUUAUCAGUUUUCUAAAGAUCCAUAGUUCAGAUCUUUCUUCUCUUAUUGAAGCUUUGGCAAGAGUCUUCUAGCUGGUCCUCAGCCAUUAUGUUGCACUGUAUUGCAUCCCUACCUAGCUUUCUCAGAGUCACCUGAGUUUCUUCUUAAAGGUGCAUUCUACACACUCUUUCCUACUUAAAGUCCUUCAGCACCAUUCCCCACAAACAGUCCACGAUACUACAAAAUUUCCUUAUUUUCAAUUAUUUCCUGAAUA